GACGACCGCUGGCGGCAGGCCUAACACAUGCAAGUCGAACGCGUGCCUUCGGGCACGAGUGGCGGACGGGUGAGUAACGCGUGGGAAUUUGCCUUGGGGUACGGAAUAACCGCGGGAAACUGCGGCUAAUACCGUAUACGUCCUUCGGGAGAAAGAUUUAUCGCCCCAAGAUGAGCCCGCGUCCGAUUAGGUAGUUGGUGAGGUAACGGCUCACCAAGCCUUCGAUCGGUAGCUGGUCUGAGAGGAUGAUCAGCCACACUGGGACUGAGACACGGCCCAGACUCCUACGGGAGGCAGCAGUGGGGAAUAUUGGACAAUGGGGGAAACCCUGAUCCAGCCAUGCCGCGUGAGUGAAGAAGGCCUUAGGGUUGUAAAGCUCUUUCGGUGGUGACGAUGAUGACGGUAGCCACAGAAGAAGCCCCGGCUAACUCCGUGCCAGCAGCCGCGGUAAUACGGAGGGGGCAAGCGUUGUUCGGAAUUACUGGGCGUAAAGGGCGCGUAGGCGGAUGAUCAAGUCAGAGGUGAAAGCCCUGGGCUCAACCUAGGAGGUGCCUUUGAAACUGAUUGUCUUGAGUACGGGAGAGGAUAGCGGAAUUCCCAGUGUAGAGGUGAAAUUCGUAGAUAUUGGGAAGAACACCAGUGGCGAAGGCGGCUAUCUGGCCCGUAACUGACGCUGAGGCGCGAAAGCGUGGGGAGCAAACAGGAUUA
rnacentral:rRNA from 1 species